UGGGUUGUAGCUCAGUGGUAGAGCACUUGCCUAACACGUAUAAGGAAUUGGGUUCGAUCCUCAGCACCACAC
rnacentral:tRNA from 1 species